CAAGAUGUGAANUCCCCGAGCUUAACUUGGGAACUGCGUUUCGAACUGGUAAGCUAGAGUAUGUCAGAGGGGGGUAGAAUUCCACGUGUAGCAGUGAAAUGCGUAGAGAUGUGGAGGAAUACCGAUGGCGAAGGCAGCCCCCUGGGAUAAUACUGACGUUCAUGCUCGAAAGCGUGGGUAGCAAACAGGAUUAGAUACCCUGGUAGUCCACGCCCUAAACGAUGUCAAUUAGCUGUUGGGGCACUUGAUGCCUUAGUAGCGAAGCUAACGCGUGAAAUUGACCGCCUGGGGAGUACGGUCGCGAGAUUAAAACUCAAAGGAAUUGACGGGGACCCGCACAAGCGGUGGAUGAUGUGGAUUAAUUCGAUGCAACGCGAAGAACCUUACCUGGUCUUGACAUGUACGGAAUCUUCCAGAGACGGAAGAGUGCCUUCGGGAGCCGUAACACAGGUGCUGCAUGGCUGUCGUCAGCUCGUGUCGUGAGAUGUUGGGUUAAGUCCCGCAACGAGCGCAACCCUUGUCAUUAGUUGCCACCAUUCAGUUGGGCACUCUAAUGAGACUGCCGGUGACAAACCGGAGGAAGGUGGGGAUGACGUCAAGUCCUCAUGGCCCUUAUGACCAGGGCUUCACACGUCAUACAAUGGUCGGUACAGAGGGUAGCCAAGCCGCGAGGUGGAGCCAAUCUCAGAAAACCGAUCGUAGUCCGGAUUGCACUCUGCAACUCGAGUGCAUGAAGUCGGAAUCGCUAGUAAUCGCAGGUCAGCAUACUGCGGUGAAUACGUUCCCGGGUCUUGUACACACCGCCCGUCACACCAUGGGAGUGGGGGAUACCAGAAGUAGGUAGGCUAACCGCAAGGAGGCCGCU
rnacentral:rRNA from 1 species